AGCUCAUCAAGAGGGACUGAGGGAACGGCCCGUCGAAGUCCCGGCAACCGCCACGAGCCUCCGCCCAGCUACCCGCCCGGACCCCCGGACGGCGCGCAGUCGGACGUGGAAACGGUGCUAACUCCGUCCCGGUGCGAAAGUCGCCCGGGGAAGAUGAGGA
rnacentral:ncRNA from 1 species